CCGCCCGAAGCAGCACGUGAGGCCUGCACUGACUCAAAAAACAUGCUCAGAUGUCGACGGUCAUUGCAAAGAGUGGCGAACGGGUGAGUAACACGGGAAAAACAACCUCUUAGCAGGGGAUAACAUUUGGAAACAGAUGCUAAUACCGUAUAACAAUGACAACCGCAUGGUUGUUAUUUAAAAGAUGGUUCUGCUAUCACUAAGAGAUGGUCCCGCGGUGCAUUAGCUAGUUGGUAAGGUAAUGGCUUACCAAGGCGAUGAUGCAUAGCCGAGUUGAGAGACUGAUCGGCCACAAUGGGACUGAGACACGGCCCAUACUCCUACGGGAGGCAGCAGUAGGGAAUCUUCCACAAUGGGCGAAAGCCUGAUGGAGCAACGCCGCGUGUGUGAUGAAGGGUUUCGGCUCGUAAAACACUGUUGUAAGAGAAGAAUGACAUUGAGAGUAACUGUUCAAUGUGUGACGGUAUCUUACCAGAAAGGAACGGCUAAAUACGUGCCAGCAGCCGCGGUAAUACGUAUGUUCCAAGCGUUAUCCGGAUUUAUUGGGCGUAAAGCGAGCGCAGACGGUUAUUUAAGUCUGAAGUGAAAGCCCUCAGCUCAACUGAGGAAUUGCUUUGGAAACUGGAUGACUUGAGUGCAGUAGAGGAAAGUGGAACUCCAUGUGUAGCGGUGAAAUGCGUAGAUAUAUGGAAGAACACCAGUGGCGAAGGCGGCUUUCUGGACUGUAACUGACGUUGAGGCUCGAAAGUGUGGGUAGCAAACAGGAUUAGAUACCCUGGUAGUCCACACCGUAAACGAUGAGUGCUAGGUGUUUGAGGGUUUCCGCCCUUAAGUGCCGCAGCUAACGCAUUAAGCACUCCGCCUGGGGAGUACGACCGCAAGGUUGAAACUCAAAGGAAUUGACGAGGACCCGCACAAGCGGUGGAGCAUGUGGUUUAAUUCGAAGCAACGCGAAGAACCUUACCAGGUCUUUGACAUCCCUUGACAACUCCAAAGAUGAAGCGUUCCCUUCGGGGACAAGGUGACAGGUGGUGCAUGGUUGUCGUCAGCUCGUGUCGUGAGAUGUUGGGUUAAGUCCCGCAACGAGCGCAACCCUUAUUACUAGUUGCCAGCAUUCAGUUGGGCACUCUAGUGAGACUGCCGGUGACAAACCGGAGGAAGGUGGGGAUGACGUCAAAUCAUCAUGCCCCUUAUGACCUGGGCUACACACGUGCUACAAUGGCGUAUACAACGAGUUGCCAACCCGCGAGGGUGAGCUAAUCUCUUAAAGUACGUCUCAGUUCGGAUUGUAGGCUGCAACUCGCCUACAUGAAGUCGGAAUCGCUAGUAAUCGCGGAUCAGCACGCCGCGGUGAAUACGUUCCCGGGUCUUGUACACACCCCCCGUCACGCCAUGAGAGUUUGUAUCUACCCAAAGCCGGUGGGGUUAACUCCCUCGGGCCAAACCCCCAC
rnacentral:rRNA from 1 species